CCCUCUUUUCACAAACCCUAGCAGCCCACUAACAUUUACCCACCAGUUCUCAUUACUUUCCCACCGGUGACAACUACCCACCAGCCUGCAGUCACUCUUCAAUGCUUCAAAUAAAGUUUGCUUUCAUUGCAGUAUUCGGAUCAUGUACUCUGCCAUACACGACAUCGAUGACGAACCAAACGUUAAAGAUGGGGAACGGAUGCUUCUGCUUUGUGUAUAUUUACCGGUGAUAAUAGGUGUUACAAGUGGAGUAGGCUACUUUCAUAAUUACCAGAAUAAACAGCGCCAACAAUUCCCAUACCGUGCGGAGACAUCGUCAUGCAGUAACACCGCCUACAAAAACGAUUGUGGAAUUUUUGCGAGCCAUGGAGGAGGAUUGGCUCCAUUUGCGUCGUUUGUUCUAUUCCCAUUUUCCCCCUCCUCCAUCGCCAUCAGUGUAGGGCUAUUUAGUACAGCACGGGUGGACUUUGGUGAGAAGACGGCGAUUGCUCUGACUGCACAGCCUUUUGGAGACUGCAUUCUGAUCCUGACUUUUGUUGUUAUGUAUAUGGGAUGUAUUGACACUGAUUUGAUAUAUUUUUGGAC